GUGGGGAAUUUUGGACAAUGGGGGCAACCCUGAUCCAGCCAUGCCGCGUGCGGGAAGAAGGCCUUCGGGUUGUAAACCGCUUUUGUCAGGGAAGAAAUCCUUUGGGUUAAUACCUCGGAGGGAUGACGGUACCUGAAGAAUAAGCACCGGCUAACUACGUGCCAGCAGCCGCGGUAAUACGUAGGGCGCGAGCGUUAAUCGGAAUUACUGGGCGUAAAGCGUGCGCAGGCGGUUUUGUAAGAUCGAUGUGAAAUCCCCGGGCUCAACCUGGGAACUGCAUUGGUGACUGCAAGGCUGGAGUGCGGCAGAGGGGGAUGGAAUUCCGCGUGUAGCAGUGAAAUGCGUAGAUAUGCGGAGGAACACCGAUGGCGAAGGCAAUCCCCUGGGCCUGCACUGACGCUCAUGCACGAAAGCGUGGGGAGCAAACAGGAUUAGAUACCCCGGUAGUCC
rnacentral:rRNA from 1 species